CAUGCAAGUCGAACGGAGCUUAGAGAGCUUGCUUUUUAAGCUUAGUGGCGAACGGGUGAGUAACGCGUGAGUAACCUGCCCUAGAGUGGGGGACAACAGUUGGAAACGACUGCUAAUACCGCAUAAGCCCACGGUACCGCAUGGCACUGAGGGAAAAGGAUUUAUUCGCUUUAGGAUGGACUCGCGUCCAAUUAGCUAGUUGGUGAGGUAACGGCCCACCAAGGCGACGAUUGGUAGCCGGACUGAGAGGUUGAACGGCCACAUUGGGACUGAGACACGGCCCAGACUCCUACGGGAGGCAGCAGUGGGGGAUAUUGCACAAUGGGGGAAACCCUGAUGCAGCGACGCCGCGUGGAGGAAGAAGGUUUUCGGAUUGUAAACUCCUGUCGUUAGGGACGAUAAUGACGGUACCUAACAAGAAAGCACCGGCUAACUACGUGCCAGCAGCCGCGGUAAAACGUAGGGUGCAAGCGUUGUCCGGAAUUACUGGGUGUAAAGGGAGCGCAGGCGGGAAGACAAGUUGGAAGUGAAAACCAUGGGCUCAACCCAUGAAUUGCUUUCAAAACUGUUUUUCUUGAGUAGUGCAGAGGUAGAUGGAAUUCCCGGUGUAGCGGUGGAAUGCGUAGAUAUCGGGAGGAACACCAGUGGCGAAGGCGGUCUACUGGGCACCAACUGACGCUGAAGCUCGAAAGCAUGGGUAGCAAACAGGAUUAGAUACCCUGGUAGUCCAUGCCGUAAACGAUGAUUACUAGGUGUUGGGGGAUUGACC
rnacentral:rRNA from 1 species